AUGGCCUGGACCCCUCUCCUGUUCGCCCUCCUCACUCUCUGCACAGGUUCUGUGGCCUCUUCUGAGCUGACUCAGCCACCUGCGGUGUCCGUGUCCUUGGGACAGACGGCCAGGAUCACCUGCCAGGGAGACAGCUUAGGAAGCUAUUAUGUUUCCUGGUACCAGCAGAAGCCAGGCCAGGCCCCUGUGCUGGUUAUUUAUGGUGGUAGCAACCGGCCCACAGGGAUCUCUGACCGAUUCUCUGGCUCCGGCUCAGGCAACACAGCCACCCUGACGAUCAGCGGGGCCCGGGCCGAGGACGAGGCUGACUAUUACUGUGGGUCAGCUGACAGAAGUGGUUAUCUUCACAAUGACACAGGCAGACGGGGAAAUGAGCCCGUUCGUAUCUUCACGGGUAAUCUCAGCCCCUCGUGCCAGGACGUGAGGCAGACAGAGCUACGGACGGGGAGUAAUUCCUGA